UUGAGAGUAUGCGUCAUACUGCAAUUACACCGCCGAAACGCUAGUUGGCUCUUUGUGUUUUCAUGGGUUUGCUCUUCUUCGCCGAUGUUUUGUGUGUGUGUAUGCUAGUGUUUGCAAACGACAAUGGAAGCCAAACCGACGUUAGAGGAAAUCUCUCUCCAAGAAUUCGCCGCCAUCUGACAGUCUUUAUAGUCCGCCGAAGAGGAGUCAUACAGAUGCGUGUAUUUCCGAACCUCUUCAAUCAGACGCUCAGUAACUUGGUCGAUGUCGAUGCUCACCAUGUUGUUCUUUUGUGGACUCUGAACUUGCCGGAAGAAGACACCAGAGAAGAAGAUGCCGGAAAUGCGUAGAAGGAAGUACGAUGCUGCCAAACCGACCAAUCACAGCGCUUGCGGUCCGCGUAGGGUCCGCGUUGAGUUGACGCGUUGUUACAUUUUUGGAGAGAUGAGGAAACGAUCGCACUUCAGUCGGAACUGGAGGCUGUGGAGAAGCAGAUCCAGGAUCUACUAGAGAAGCAGACACGGCUGCGAGAACGAAAAACGGCACUGGAAACAUCCAGAGCUGACGCUCGCAAAUCCGCGGUAAGUUUUCAUCGCGAUUUUAAUACUCCUUCUACUUCUACAGAGCCCAGGCUUCGAGAACACGGUCAGCCCAAAUAAACUUCACUCCUGCACCGGCACACCCACGGCGAAAGGCGCGAGCUAGGACUGGAGCGAUGACCCAACCGCCGCCACCGGUCUUCGAGAUCCCGACCAGGAACCGCUUUGCCGCCCUCUGCGAGACGGAAUGCAACGCUGUGGUCAUCGGAGACUCAAUCGUCCGGAACGUACCUGCGAUCCUGAAGGACGAUGCUAACGUGGAGCUGUCGUGCUGCACGCGGGGGUGAAUGACUCAGGAUGAGGCAGUCGGAGAUCCUGAAGAGGGACUUCAGGAGUCUGAUCGAGACGGUACGCAACGCAUCGCCCACGGCGAGGAUCAUCGUAUCAGGGCCGCUUCCUACCUACCGACGAGGGAAUGAAAAGUUCAGUAGACUAUUUGCUCUAAAUAAAUGGUUGAUGUCAUGGUGUAUUGAACAGAAGCUGCUCUUUGUUAAUAAUUUUGAUCUGUUCUGGGAGCGACCUAGGCUCUUCCGCCCUGACGGCCUGCACCCCAGCAGCAUCGGAGCGGUUCUUCUGUCUGACAACAUCUCAAAGACGCUACGCACCGCUUGACUACGUCUCCCAGCGGGAGAGAUUCCGCCAGGCCCAGAUGAACGUCAUAUGCCCAUCCACAACUAGAGAUUACGCCAGCUACAUCGGAAAAUCCCGUGCCAUCCUCCUGCGAGAGCCUGCGGACUGACUGACCAUCCAGCUCCAUCCAAGGCAAUUCCAUCACCACCCAAGAAAAAGGCGACCAUCUGGCCGGCCCAGCUCAGACAAUUCCAUCCCCAACCGAGAGCAAAGACGGACUACCUGUCACAUAAAUGCUAAAUUUACAAUACUUGGUAUUUAAUGCUAAACUUACAUCACACGACAGCAGUUUGAAGUUAUGGCUGCACUCAGUGACUUUGAUUGGAGGUAGCUGGGUGGGUGUUGUAGGGAGUGGGGGGGCUUGUUGGUUGUGUUCGGGGCGUUUCAUUUGUUGGGACUGUGUGGGUCUGGUCUGGUUGGUCUUGUUUUGUGGUCGAUGUCGGACAACAGAGGAAUAAAGUUAAUUAUGCCAUUACUACUUUUCCCUGGUUGUCCCUCUGUUGUCUGUUGUUGACCACGGAAUGGGACCGGGUUGGACCUGCACGGUUUCGGCGGGUGGGGCUUCCUGGGUCGCGGCUCGUGGGCUCUCCCUGUUCUUCGUGGACGUUGCUCGGUGGCUUUGGUCGGGGUCACUGAGUGCAGCUAUGACACGUCAGAGGAGAUCUGGCCCUCCCGGCUGAGCCUGGUUUCUCCCGAGGUUUUUUUUUCUCCAUUAUUCAGCAUUGGAGUUUGGGUUCCUCGCCACAGCAGAGCAGUGCAGUGUUGGCUUGCUCACCGGGAGACUGCAUUUAUUUAUUCAUUUAUUUAUUAGAUAUUAUUUAUUAUAAUGAUCUUGCUUGGUCUAUAAACACCAUGCACUGUGCUGUGUUUUACCUUUCUGUGUUUUUCUUAUUUGCUCCUGUAAAGCUGCUUUGGAACAAUGCACAUUGUGAAAAGCGCUAUAUAAAUAAAAUUGAAUUGAAUUGAAUGAUUGGCUUUCUGCCUUAAGUCCCGCCUCUCUUGGUGUGUUAGAUUUAUCGGUCAGCUCGUGCUGAGGAGGCGGGAACUUAUGGUUAUGGUUAUUUACAUCUCCCUUUUCCAGGUACUUUGAAUGAGUGUUUAUGCUUUCGAGGUUUUUAAAUAAGCUUGAUAUGUGUUUGGGAAGAUGUUCUGUUUAUGUUUUGUUGACAUGUCGAGUGUUUUCUGUAUUAUAUUUCGUUUUUUAGACUAAUGCUAAUUGCUAAUUGGGAUAUUGUUCAGCAGCUAGCUAAAUUCGGUUAUGUAUGUGGCAUGCAAUGUAUAAAGUAACUGUGAUGAAGAAGGCAGGGAAUUGACAAGGAGGAGGGACAAAUUGUCAUUGUUAAGCAGUGUAUUUAUGGGUUUAUUGCCAGUGCAAUUGAUUUUGAUAUUUUGAGCAUUGUUUGUUGAUUAGCUGAAUACUUUUGUGGAUACUUACCUGUUGUGUUUGAUUGUACCUGUUGAGGAGAAAAAAGUGAGAAAUGAUGUCAUUGUUUGCAUACCUGUUGAAGAACAAUGAAAGAAAAGUGUAUAUUAUUUUAAUGUUUAAAAACAGUAAAUUGUUACAUUACUUAUACCACCACAGAAAAAGCUUUGUGUGGGCGUUUUUUUUUUUAAAUAUCUCCCCUUUUCAAGGCGCAAGUAAGCUAAAUUUAGCAGUCACAGUCCUGUCAGACCCAUGUCACUAUCAAGCUUACUACCGAGUGUGUUUUUAUACUUUUCUAGUAUCACUCAUUUAAAUGGGAAGCUUUUUAUAUCUUGUAUGUUAUACCUUUUGUACCGUUCUGUCAUUGUAUUCAUCGUUUUUAUUGUUAACAAACAAACCACAUCCAUCCCCCGCAGUUUUGAAAAGCUUGCUACGCCCCUGGGGACAUCACAGUUUUGUGAAAAUCAUCAAAAAUGGUGUCUGGCAACUUAAACUAAAUGCUAUCGAGGAAACCGUUAAGAAAAUGACACUUCUCUCUGUUUUUACCACAAAAUAAAAA